UUUGGGGGCCUAAAGCGAGGGCUUGGGUCGCCUUACCCUUAGGUCAGACCUGAGUGAGUAAUUGAGUAGUGUUUUAUUUGUGAAGAAUAAAAAUGAUAGAACCAAGUCCAGUAAGAAGAUAUAAAUAGAUUGUAGUCUCAUGAAAAUUAGGGUUAGAAACACACAUGAGUAAAUUGAGAGAAGAGGCAAAAAGGGGAUCUAAAGUGGUGAAGAAGAACUCUAGAAGGCUAGAGGAGGAGAUUGGAGAGAGGCCCAUUCAUUCGAGAGAUUUUAUUUGUUGAUUGUUGAGGUAAGUGGGAGUCCUCUAUUCACAUGUGAACAAAUGGAUGGUAUGUGAUUAUUUGAGAAUCCAUGAUGUGGAUAUGCUAAAUCCACGACUUAAUUGUGUU
rnacentral:lncRNA from 1 species